rnacentral:rRNA from 1 species
GAUGAACGCUGGCGGCGUGCUUAACACAUGCAAGUCGAACGGAAAGGCUCCUGCUUGCAGGGGUACUCGAGUGGCGAACGGGUGAGUAACACGUGGGUGAUCUGCCCUGCACUUCGGGAUAAGCCUGGGAAACUGGGUCUAAUACCGGAUAGGACGAUGGUUUGGAUGCCAUUGUGGAAAGUUUUUUCGGUGUGGGAUGAGCUCGCGGCCUAUCCGCUUGUUGGUGGGGUAAUGGCCUACCAAGGCGUCGACGGGUAGCCGGCCUGAGAGGGUGUACGGCCACAUUGGGACUGAGAUACGGCGCAGACUCCUACGGGAGGCAGUAGUGGGGAAUAUGGCACAAUGGGCGCAAGCCUGAUGCAGCGACGCCGCGUGGGGGAUGACGGCCUUCGGGUUGUAAACUCCUUUCGCUAGGGACGAAGCGCAAGUGACGGUACCUGGAGAAGAAGCACCGGCUAACUACGUG